rnacentral:rRNA from 1 species
AAAUUGAAGAGUUUGAUCAUGGCUCAGAUUGAACGCUGGCGGCAGGCCUAACACAUGCAAGUCGAACGGUAACAGGAAGCAGCUUGCUGCUUUGCUGACGAGUGGCGGACGGGUGAGUAAUGUCUGGGAAACUGCCUGAUGGAGGGGGAUAACUACUGGAAACGGUAGCUAAUACCGCAUAACGUCGCAAGACCAAAGAGGGGGACCUUAGGGCCUCUUGCCAUCGGAUGUGCCCAGAUGGGAUUAGCUGGUAGGUGGGGUAACGGCUCACCUAGGCGACGAUCCCUAGCUGGUCUGAGAGGAUGACCAGCCACACUGGAACUGAGACACGGUCCAGACUCCUACGGGAGGCAGCAGUGGGGAAUAUUGCACAAUGGGCGCAAGCCUGAUGCAGCCAUGCCGCGUGUAUGAAGAAGGCCUUCGGGUUGUAAAGUACUUUCAGCGGGGAGGAAGGGAGUAAAGUUAAUACCUUUGCUCAUUGACGUUACCCGCAGAAGAAGCACCGGCUAACUCCGUGCCAGCAGCCGCGGUAAUACGGAGGGUGCAAGCGUUAAUCGGAAUUACUGGGCGUAAAGCGCACGCAGGCGGUUUGUUAAGUCAGAUGUGAAAUCCCCGGGCUCAACCUGGGAACUGCAUCUGAUACUGGCAAGCUUGAGUCUCGUAGAGGGGGGUAGAAUUCCAGGUGUAGCGGUGAAAUGCGUAGAGAUCUGGAGGAAUACCGGUGGCGAAGGCGGCCCCCUGGACGAAGACUGACGCUCAGGUGCGAAAGCGUGGGGAGCAAACAGGAUUAGAUACCCUGGUAGUCCACGCCGUAAACGAUGUCGACUUGGAGGUUGUGCCCUUGAGGCGUGGCUUCCGGAGCUAACGCGUUAAGUCGACCGCCUGGGGAGUACGGCCGCAAGGUUAAAACUCAAAUGAAUUGACGGGGGCCCGCACAAGCGGUGGAGCAUGUGGUUUAAUUCGAUGCAACGCGAAGAACCUUACCUGGUCUUGACAUCCACGGAAGUUUUCAGAGAUGAGAAUGUGCCUUCGGGAACCGUGAGACAGGUGCUGCAUGGCUGUCGUCAGCUCGUGUUGUGAAAUGUUGGGUUAAGUCCCGCAACGAGCGCAACCCUUAUCCUUUGUUGCCAGCGGUCCGGCCGGGAACUCAAAGGAGACUGCCAGUGAUAAACUGGAGGAAGGUGGGGAUGACGUCAAGUCAUCAUGGCCCUUACGACCAGGGCUACACACGUGCUACAAUGGCGCAUACAAAGAGAAGCGACCUCGCGAGAGCAAGCGGACCUCAUAAAGUGCGUCGUAGUCCGGAUUGGAGUCUGCAACUCGACUCCAUGAAGUCGGAAUCGCUAGUAAUCGUGGAUCAGAAUGCCACGGUGAAUACGUUCCCGGGCCUUGUACACACCGCCCGUCACACCAUGGGAGUGGGUUGCAAAAGAAGUAGGUAGCUUAACCUUCGGGAGGGCGCUUACCACUUUGUGAUUCAUGACUGGGGUGAAGUCGUAACAAGGUAACCGUAGGGGAACCUGCGGUUGGAUCACCUCCUUA